rnacentral:tRNA from 1 species
CCCGGCGUAACUCAGACUGGUAGAGUGGCGGACUGUAGAUCCGCAAGUCGCUGGUUCAAAUCCGGCCGCCGGGA